AUGGGCGUAGCUGACAGGAAAGCAACGGUCUCCAAAGCCGUGACACGCAGGUUCGAAUCCUGCCGCCCGUGC
rnacentral:tRNA from 2 species